rnacentral:lncRNA from 1 species
CUCUCUUGCUCUUCUUGCCAUGUGACACCUCGCCCUUCACCUUCUGCCAUGAGUAAAACUUCCUGGGGCCUUACCAGAAAUCAAGCAGAUACUGGCACUAUGCUUGUAGAGCCCGCAAAACUGAAGCUGAACUGACACGAAACAAAAGAAGUCCGUUGUUUUGGAUUGAGUUCCAUACUUGGCUGGCCCAGAGGUUGAUCUCACCACCAUUCAGAUAUCCAAGAAGAAGCCACCUGUUGGAUUUAAGAAAACCCAGGCAGAUUUGGCAGUCUUCUUGAAAGGAAGUAAUGCUUAUUGUGGUCAGAAGAAAGAGUGAGGCAACUCAGGGUCUGAAAAAAGAGACAUGAAGAAAGCUGAGGACCAAUCCAUUCCAAGGUUCACUGUGGAAAUGGGGCCCAACCCUUAAAAGGUGUGUCCAGAUAUUGGUCUUUUCUUUCUUUAGUCUGAUGUGAGUUGGACCCUGUACAUCAGCUACAACUCAGUCUCUGACACAUUACUGGGCAAAUCAAGCUAGGAAACCACACACUGGGG